GAAAUGCGAUAAGUAAUGUGAAUUGCAGAAUUCCGUGAAUCAUCGAAUCUUUGAACGCACAUUGCGCCCUCUGGUAUUCCGGGGGGCAUGCCUGUCCGAGCGGCAUUGCGAACCCCUCAAGCACGGCUUGUGUGAUGGGCCCUCCCGCGUCUUGGUCGUCAAGACGGGCCCGAAAUGCAGUGGCGGCUUCGCGGUUAUCCGAUCAGCCAGAGCGUAUGGGGACUUUCUCUCUGUCACACGCCCGCGGCGCGGACCGACGCCUGUCGACCUUCAUUCAUCGUUUUCUCGGUUGACCUCGGAUCAGGUAGGGAUACCCGCUGAACUUACGC
rnacentral:misc_RNA from 1 species